rnacentral:rRNA from 1 species
CUGGCUCAGGAUGAACGCUAGCGGCAGGCUUAACACAUGCAAGGUCGAGGGGCAUCGGGAGUAGCAAUACUUGCCGGCGACCGGCGCAAGGGUGCGUAACGCGUGAGCAACAUGCCCGUAUCAGGGGGAUAAUCCAUGGAAACGUGGUCUAAUACCCCAUAGUAAUUAUGUAAGGCAUCUUAUAUAAUUUAAAGCUUGGUGGAUACGGAUUGGCUCGCGUGACAUUAGCUAGAUGGUAAGGUAACGGCUUACCAUGGCUACGAUGUCUAGGGGUUCUGAGAGGAAGGUCCCCCACACUGGAACUGAGACACGGUCCAGACUCCUACGGGAGGCAGCAGUGAGGAAUAUUGGACAAUGGAUGGAAAUCUGAUCCAGCCAUGCCGCGUGCAGGAAGAACCGGCCCUAUGGGUUGUAAACUGCUUUUGUAUGGGAGCAAUAAGGGCUACGCGUAGUCCGAUGAGAGUACCAUACGAAUAAGCACCGGCUAACUCCGUGCCAGCAGCAGC